rnacentral:rRNA from 1 species
AAAGGAAUAGACGGGUCCCCGCACAAGCGGUGGAGCAUGUUCUUUAAUUCGAUGCAACGCGAAGAACCUUACCUGGGCUUGACAUCCCGCUGACCGCUCUAGAGAUAGAGUUUUCCCUUCGGGGACAGCGGUGACAGGUGGUGCAUGGUUGUCGUCAGCUCGUGUCGUGAGAUGUUGGGUUAAGUCCCGCAACGAGCGCAACCCUCGUCCUUAGUUACUAACAUUAAGUUGAGGACUCUAAGGAGACUGCCGGUGAUAAACCGGAGGAAGGUGAGGAUGACGUCAAAUCCUCAUGCCCCUUAUGUCCAGGGCUAGAAACGUGCUACAAUGGUCGGUACAACGGGAUGCGAUGUCGCGAGAUUGAGCAAAUCCCUAAAAACCGAUCUCAGUUCGGAUUGGAGUCUGCAACUCGACUCCAUGAAGCCGGAAUCGCUAGUAAUCGCGAAUCAGAAUGUCGCGGUGAAUACGUUCUCGGGGAUUGUACACACCGCCCGU